rnacentral:rRNA from 1 species
UUAUACAGCGAAACUGCGAAUGGCUCAUUAUAUAAGUUAUCGUUUAUUUGAUAGUACCUUACUACUUGGAUAACCGUGGUAAUUCUAGAGCUAAUACAUGCUAAAAAUCCCGACUUCGGAAGGGAUGUAUUUAUUAGAUUAAAAACCAAUGCCCUUCGGGGCUCCUUGGUGAUUCAUGAUAACUCCUCGAAUCGCAUGGCCUUGUGCCGGCGAUGGUUCAUUCAAAUUUCUUCCCUAUCAACUUUCGAUGUUUGGGUAUUGGCCAAACAUGGUUGCAACGGGUAACGGAGGGUUAGGGCUCGACCCCGGAGAAGGAGCCUGAGAAACGGCUACUACAUCCAAGGAAGGCAGCAGGCGCGCAAAUUACCCAAUCCCGACACGGGGAGGUAGUGACAAUAAAUACUGAUACAGGGCUCUUUCGGGUCUUGUAAUUGGAAUGAGUACAAUUUAAAUCCCUUAACGAGGAACAAUUGGAGGGCAAGUCUGGUGCCAGCAGCCGCGGUAAUUCCAGCUCCAAUAGCGUAUAUUAAAGUUGUUGUGGUUAAAAAGCUCGUAGUUGAACCUUGGGCCUGGCUGGCCGGUCCGCCUCACCGCGUGUACUGGUCCGGCCGGGCCUUUCCCUCUGUGGAACCCCAUGCCCUUCACUGGGUGUGGCGGGGAAACAGGACUUUUACUUUGAAAAAAUUAGAGUGCUCCAGGCAGGCCUAUGCUCGAAUACAUUAGCAUGGAAUAAUAGAAUAGGACGUGUGGUUCUAUUUUGUUGGUUUCUAGGACCGCCGUAAUGAUUAAUAGGGACAGUCGGGGGCAUCAGUAUUCAAUUGUCAGAGGUGAAAUUCUUGGAUUUAUUGAAGACUAACUACUGCGAAAGCAUUUGCCAAGGAUGUUUUCAUUAAUCAGGAACGAAAGUUAGGGGAUCGAAGACGAUCAGAUACCGUCGUAGUCUUAACCAUAAACUAUGCCGACUAGGGAUCGGACGAUGUUAUUUUUUGACUCGUUCGGCACCUUACGAGAAAUCAAAGUGCUUGGGCUCC